rnacentral:lncRNA from 1 species
UGAGAUUCAUUUUCCCUCCCAUAUAAAAUACACAUUACACCCAAACCCUAACCUAAUUUUGAAGCUUCAUCUGCCGACCCUCCCUUUCCCUCAAGACCAAGCUCGCAUCUCUCUUUCUCAAAAAAUACGCCCAGCACCUCACCGUCCAGCAGCUGCCUGGACUCAGCCGCAUCAAGAGACGAGAAAUAAAAGUACUUGAUCAUCUCUCUCAAACACACACGCACAUAGAUAGAGAAACGGAGAGAGGACAGAAAAUUGAGAGGAGAAAAGUUUAUGAAAAAUUAUGGUUUAGUUUUAGUGUUCAUCCUUCACUGAUUUUUAUUGGAAAAGAGAAGUACAAAAAAAAGAAGAAAAAGAACGGACCCUCCCCUCCCAUAGACGAACCCUAGCAGCGACGCCUCACCUCUCCAUCAACUCCGACCAGACCCUCCGAUCCCAUACCCAAAAACCUUGCUGCUUACUCUCACUCUUUCACUCACGUUUUUGAGCACACAUACACACAAAAAAAGCACUUAGCAACAAACGAAAAAAAAAAGAAAAAAAAAUCGAAGUUCUGGUUUUAAAAGAGGCGAUUUAGCCUCAAGCCACUGCUCGGUUCAACUGUUUAUUGCCGGAUUUAUGCUGCUGAGCUCCAACCAGCUGUGUUCUCUUUAUUUGGUUUAAAUUUGGUCCUUGCACCAUUGGGUAUGUCCUCCCUAAACUUGGUACUUUUUCAGAUUUGAUUAAUAUGAAGGUUCAUGUUUUGCUUUACUGAUUAUCUUUUAAUUUAUGUCUUUGGAUUGAUGAAUGUGAGCAUAAUAGUUUAAUAGUUCAAUAAUAUUCUUUUCAAGUCUAUUUGAUGCUACAACAUUUGGCUAAGUUCUGUUGGUUAGGUCUUCAUUCGCUAAAUACAAAUUAUACUUCAUCUUACUCAUGUUUCAUAUUUUAGUUUAAAUAUUUACUUUUAGUUGGGUGAGCACACUGUAUCGAUUUUAGAUUCUGAAAUUUGUUCGAAAGUUUCCUUUUCUAAAGAUUUCAUGAGUUGGGUUAUAUUCUAUUGAUUUGCUUAUGGUAUAGAAAUAUGCUAAUUGUAAUUUUGUGAGGAGCAUUCACUACUCAUGUCUUCGGAUUGCCAAUUUUAAGAUGAGAAUUAAUUAAGUUAGGCCUUGCUAAUACAUUAGGUCAUAUAGCAUGGAUAAGAAGAAUUUUAGUAAAUCUUAGGCAUAAUUUUGAGUUGAAAUUUUGAUUAAGUGGGUUUAAAAUCAUUACUGUUGCUCAUAAAAACUAGAGUGCAUCACUGUCUUCCAUAAUAAUUAUUUAUUCAUAACUCACGUGUCCUCACAAUAAUCUCAAAUUAGUUUAGGAUAACAUCUUUGAACAUUCGUAAUUGCUUUGGGCGUGCUUUAAUCCAUUAUCGUGGUAAUUUUAUACGUUCGCGUGACGUAACUAUGAUCCCAAAAUAAAUCAAAGUACGCGUCUGCGCAACUUUGACCAAAAACAAUCUUAUAUAAUAAAAUGCUAUUAAUUGUGUACACGUACGCAUGACAUGAUUUUGGCAUAAUAAACAAAACGGAUUCACACACGUGAUUCGUUUCAAAGAUAAUUUUAUAUUUUAAUAAUUAAAAACGGAUAGAUAAAACAUGGGAACCAAUAAAACACAUGUUAUCCAAAAUUAAUUCAAGUCAAGUUGCAGUUAAUAAAGCGACUGUGCUAGAACCACGGAACUCGGGGACUGCCUUACACCUUCUCCUCGGUCAACAGAAUUUCUUACCCGGACUUUAUUUUCGCAGACCAAUAAUAAUAGAGUCAAACCUUCAUUUGACUAGGGAUUCAAAUAAAAGGUGACUUGGAACACCCAAAAAUCAAUUUCAAGUGGCGACUCUGUAAAUAAAAUAAUCUCUACUCAAAUUUGUCACUUUGAUUGGAAAAACGCUUUAACCCACAAUCCAUAACACACAUCAUUUGAGGGGGUAAAAAGGAGAGUGACAGCUAUGGCGACUCUGCUGGGGAAUCUCAAGAAUUCGAGCUUGUACAUUGACUUUAUUUGGCUUUAUUAAUUUUUGUAUAUAAUGUGAUUUAUUUGGGCAUAAUGUGCUAUUUGUCCGCUUUUUACCACUUUGAUAUUAUUGAAUUAUACAUAUAAAUUGUCUUCUCUUGCACCUUUCUAAGUCUUCUUGAAUUAAAAUUGGGCAUUUGCUUGACAUAACCCGCUUUCUUUGAGAUAGCCGAGGUGCUUGUCACCCGGUGAAGAAUUUUAGUUACACAUAUUUUAGGCGGGGAGCACCAUCAGCUAAGCUGAAAAGCAAUGCUACCGGUAUCAGACUCAAGAUCAAGUUUCAGAAGACUUAGAGAUAGGAACCUUGUAACUCACAGCUGAUAGGCUUGUUUAGUUUUUUUUCAUUUUAAUUAUGGUGUAAUAAGGAGUUCAGCAAGCAGCAAUAAAAGUGAAAUCACAGUUUCCCGAUAAUCUCAGCUACCACAACUCCUUGAACUACACGCGACCUGAUUCCUUAUAACCCGGGAUAUGUAGGCUGCCCAAACCAGGACUCGGUUGUACUAUUUUCUCUUAUCUCUUCCCUUUUGAAUAACGGUAUGACCAAAAAUUAGUCAUAUCGCUCAUCUUUUCUUUGUAUGAAAACUCUACGUGUUUCCAAGCAAAGAGGCGCAUGUUGUGAGCACUUAAUUUUUGAUCAUGUUUGAAUUUUUCCCACUCAUCUCACCAAUACCUCACUUCUCACUCCACUUUCCCUUGCUCCCCAAUUUUUGUCCCCCCUCCCCUCCCCCACCACUCUUUAUUCCCACUCCACUUUCUAUUGUCCCCCAUGCUUGUCCCCCAUUCACCUCCCUCUCUUACAAAAACACAUCAUCUCCACAAUCCCAGAGGAGAAGAAGAACGGAUCAUCUCUCUUUACAAAAAACCAUAGCCGCCACCCUCUCAUUCUUCACACCCUCCAAUCCGCCUACACUCCUCACACUCGCCUCUCUCAACUCACUCAUAUAGACACACUCUAACACACUUAGCCAUCAUCCUUUACACUCUAAAGAAAAACACAACAUCAGAGAGAAACAAAAUAGUAGCUAAAAUAGCUUUCAGUUUUCCCUUUGUACGUUCCAAAAAUGAAACGAGUCCCCUUUGGUGUUUAGCUUCUAUUUUUUGUCUGUUGGCUCAAGCAUUAUCUGGGUUGUUGGAGUUUUUGAUAUUUGGUGCUGCUGGGGUAUUUGAUUUGAAUUGUUCUGCUGGCUUCUCAUCGUUAUUGCUCUAGCAUUUCAACAUUUAGGUAUUUCUUCUUCUGUUGUAGCUUUUGAAUUGUUUCAUAUGAAUGAAGAAUGUAUGGUUUUUGAGUCUUUAUUUGAAAUUAUUCAACAGUCUUGAUUCAUCCUUGCUUGUCAUAUAUGAACAAUUUGAGCUAUGAUAGUAAAUAUUGAUGACUGAAGCAAGAAGUACGUAUAUAGUUGAGUUCAUACUUGUCAAGUUUUUAGUGUAGUUGCAGCAGUCCCUAUUAAGGAAAGAAUUGAUUUUACUUCAUUAAAAAUCUUGGUAAAAAUCUUCUAUGAUUGAACUUUACUUGAAUAUUUCCAUAUAUGGUUUAUUGUUUCCUCGUAAGGUUUAUGUAUACAAGGUUUGGUGGAAGUUGAUACAUUUCAUGUUUACGGGCAUAAUUAGCUUAAAUAUAUUGUGAAGUGCUUUGUAAGAAUCUACUGCCUAAAUUCUUGUCAUGGAAAUAAUUUGUUCAUAUCUUCCUGUAUGCAUGUUUAGGCUAGUUUAUUUUAUAUUAAUAGGUUACUUCUUUUUAAAUGCUUAUUAUUAGUUAUAAAAAUAUGAUUUUUGUCUUUAAUCAACCAUCAAUGGCCAGUAAGGGAUAGCAAUUGGAAUUUGAACUAGUGCUGGAAUUUAGAAAAAUAUAAAGGGACAUGUGCCUCAAAUAGUCUAUUUUGGUGGUUAUCAAUUAAAGAAGAGAGUUGGGCCAAGUAAAUUUCAGCAGCUGCCCAUUUUCUUUUAGUAACAAAGUUGGCCCAUUUUUAAUGAAUCAAAAGUGUGACCCAAUGCCAUUAUACAAAUCUCCAAAGCAGCACAUUCUUUAAAUUCAAAAAGGUUGGCCCAAGUUUAAUACCAUGGUUGUUCACAUAAUUACUUUUCGAUAGAAAAAAUAAAUUUGUUCUGUAAUUAGAAUAACUCAUUAACUUAAUCACCUUAAUAAUUAAUUUAAGUGCUAGGCAACUAGUAGGCGCCCUUUUUAACCCUUUUUUAUUCACGAACUCGCUUGCGUAGCGUGAUGUUUAACUUGCAUUAAAUUAGUUCAAUAAUCUCAUACCAUACCCAUUAGUUUUAGUUAAAUUUUUUAAUUUAAUUAAUCCUUUGCUAAAAUUGCGGAUUCGCUUGCGUAGCGCGAUAGUUGAAUUUUUAAAUAAUUUUUAAGAAUUAAUUUUCUCAAAUGUAGUAUUUUCUUUAAAGUAUUACAAAUAAUUGAUUGUCAUAAUUUCGAAUUUGCUUGCGAGGCGCAAUGAUGAUAAGUUAAUUAAUUUUGUUAUUCGAUCAGGCAUUCGCCUGCGUAGUGUGGUUAUGUCAACAUAGUUUAUCCAAAAAGCGAUUAGGUAAACUAUGAAAAUCAUAUAAAUCACAGUUUGCCCAAAAUUAAUUCAAGCCAAGUUUUAAGUCAAUAAAGCGAACGUGCUAGAACCACGAGACUCGGGGAAUGCCUUACACCUUCCAGAUCAACAAAAUUUCUUAUCCGAACUUCAUUUUCGCAGAUCAAUAAUAAAAGAGUCAACCUUCCUUUGACUAGGGAUUCAAAUAAAAGGUGACUUGGAACACCGAAAAAUCAAUUCUAAAUGGCGACUUUGUAAAUAAAAUAAUCUCUCUUCAAAUUUGUCAAUUUAAUUGGAAGAACUCUUUAACCCACAAUCAAUAACAUAUUUAUCAUUUCGGGGGGUAUAAAAUGAGUGUGAUAGCUAUGUCGACUCUGCUGGGGAAUCUCAAGAAUUCGAGCUUUUACAUUGACUUUAUUUGGCUUUAUUAAUUUUUAUAUAUAUUGUAAUUUAUUUGGGCUUAAUGUGUUAUUUGCCCGCUUUUUACCACUUUGAUAUUGUUGAAUUAUACAUAUAAAUUGUCUUCUCUCGCACCCCUCUAAGUCUUCUUGGAUUUAAAUUGGUAUUUGCUUGACAUAACUUACUUUCUUUGAGAUAGCCGAGGUGCUUGUCACCCGGUGAAGGAUUUUAGUCAUACAUAUUUUAGGCGGGGAGCACCACCAGCUAAGCCGAAAAGCAAUGCUACCGGUACACUGACGCUCCUCGGCUCGAGUUGUCCGCUCGAGUAAGCCAGUCUAGAUACCUUCUCCACAAGGAUUUAAACCUAGAAGAACAAACCUCAUGCCGGAUCCCUAGUAGGUACGUUUGUUUGCAUCACGUGCAUCUGAUUUUGGGAACUCAACAUAGGGGUUGGGUCUGCCUAGGAUAGGUGUACCCAAUUCAAAAGACAAUCCUGAUGCAUUUAAGGUGUUACUUGUGCACUUAUUUGUUUCGGCUUUGCAUGUUGACCAUCUUCUAGAAUAGGGAAAGAAAAUCAAGAAAAACCAAGAGUGAGGAAAGAGAAACUUACCCGGUUAUGAAAAAUUCAAGUAUUUGAAAAAUUCUGAAACUCUACCGAAAUUUUGAAAAAAAAAGAAGAAGAGUCAUUUAAAAAA